GCAACCACACACUUAACAUUCGCUCGCAACAUGGCGUUGAAUCGCCGAGAGACACGACGGCUCACCCCCGACUAGUGCAACCUUAUUGUUAGGAAAGCAAGGGGACUGUUAACCAAAGAGACCUAAACAUUCACAGAGACUCCCUUACGCACCGGCGGAGACAAUAGCGGAUUCCAACAUAUGCAUGUCGCUAUAACGGUAUAGCUGAUUGUAUAGACUCACGCUGCUAUACCCCACUGGUGGAAAUCAAAGGCUGUACAUGGCGGUGGAGAGUACAAUUUGGCUGUUCUGUCUUCUUUCGCUGUUUUGUGGUCCAUCCAAGCAAGAAAAGCCUGUUUCGGUGGAGCUGAGCUGCGGGGCUGGGCCCAGCCAUGUAGUGUUGGAGCCGGGAUCGCCCCUCGUGCUGAACUGCCACCUGGGGUCCAGCGACACACCUUUCAAUGUCACCUGGCUUCAGGAUGGACAGCCCCUGCCUCUAGAGGGGAGUGACUUCCUGCAGUAUUUAGCCAAUGGAUCCCUCCUCUUGCUGCCCACCGCUAAGGAUGGUCAGCCUCCCCGGGGAGUGGAGGGCGGCUACAGCUGCGUGAGUGCCAGCGCCCUAGGAGCCUUGACUAGCCGGACUGUAAACGUGCUCCUGGCAAGUCUGUCUCAGUUCCAUCAGGAGCCAUCACCCCAAACAGUGCCCACUGGGGGAGCUGCUCGCUUUGAGUGCCAGAUUGAGGGAGUACCCACACCUGUUAUUACCUGGGAAAAGGACAAAGUGGCUGUCCCUGAGAAUGCAAGGUUCAUUUCCCUCCCUAACGGGGUGCUACAGAUUCUGGAGGUUACCAAGGAGAAUGAGGGUGCCUACCGCUGUGUUGCAUCCAACUCUGCCAGGAAGGACAUCAGUCAUGAAGCCAGGCUCACUGUCACCACAGGCUCUACUGAAGCCCUGAACAAAGUUGUGAUUGUGGCACCGCCUCAGAAUGCAACAGUAGUGCUCGGCCGUCCCGCUGUGAUGGAGUGCAUGGCACAAGGCCAGCCGAAACCACUGGUGUCCUGGAGCAGACAAGAUGGAAAGCCCAUUUCCACUGAAGUGGUCGUCCUCGCAACAAACCUGGUGAUUAGGGACACUAGGCGUCACCAUGCUGGUGUAUAUGUCUGCAGGGCCAACAAGCCCAGAACCAGAGAGUUUGUCAUUGCUGCAGCUGAGCUGCAUGUGCCUGCCCCUCCAGUGAUUCUCCAGCCCCCAGAGACAGUGUCCCUCUCCCGAGGAAACACAGCCAGGUUUGUGUGCAACAGCUCUGGGGAACCUCCUCCAGUGUUGCACUGGCUGAAGAAUGGCCAGCCAAUCAAGUCAUUCAGACGGGUGAAGUACCAAAGCCCUGGAGUCCUGCUCAUCAACCAGCUGGCACUGGAGGAUGCGGGCUACUACCAGUGCAUAGCAGACAACGGUCUGGGCACAGCCUGUGCCACUGCCAAGCUGACGGUCAUUGUGAGGGAGGGCCUGCCCAGCCCUCCUCGCCACCUGUCUGCCAUGCCCUACUCUAGCACAACUGCCCUGCUCACCUGGGAGAAACCUGAGUACAACUCGGACCAAAUCAUUGGCUACUCUUUGCACUGCCAGCGAGCCGCAGGCUCAGAUAAUGUGGAGUACCAGUUUGCAAUGAACAAUGACACCACAGAGUAUCACGUCAAAGAGCUUCACCCUCACACUGCCUACACAUUCUUUGUAGUGGCUUACUCUCCCAUGGGUGCCAGUCGCCCGUCCAUGCCUGUUACUGUUGAGAUGCUGGAGGAUGUGCCGAGUGCACCUCCUCAGCUGUCAAUAGCCAGCACCUCCCCCACAGACAUCAGGUUGAUGUGGCAUCCAUUGUCCUCGCAGCACAGUCGAGGAGCUGUUACCCGUUACCGCAUUGAGUACAGCACUCUGGAUCAGGUGGACACUGUGUUCUCAGUGGAAGUGGCAGGUAAUGAGACCCAGUUCACAUUGAGAGAGCUGCAGCCCAACCAGUCCUACAGACUGAGGAUAGCAGCUGGAACAGGCGUUGGCUUUGGGGUUCCAUCUGAGUGGGCCCAGCACCAAACCCUUGCCCACUAUAACCACAGUGACCACAGCAUGGUGAUCUUUGCCCCUACUGAGAUGAAAGUUAGAGCUAGAGUGAGCACACUCAACGUAACAUGGCAUCCCUCACCCAAUCACACACUAAUCUCUGGGUAUAAGCUGUCCUGUCGAGAGGUGGAGGCUGACGAAUCAGCGAAUGGAGGAAAGACAGCACAGACCCACACCAUCAGGCUCCGUAAGAAGGCCAGGUAUCAUCUCCUCACUGGGCUGGUCCCUGACCGUCAGUACGAGGUGAGAGUUUGGGCAUUUAACAAGCAGAUAGAUGGAUCUGCUGCUGUGUGGAAGGGAAGGACAGACAAGGCUCAUGAUAGAACAUCAACACUGCCCAUGCGCCCCCCUCCAUUACCUCCAAGCAGCAUCCAAGCCAUGGCCAACAGCUCCACCUCCAUCUGGUUGCGCUGGGAGAAACCGCGAUUCAGCAACGUACGCAUCAUCGACUACACAGUGCGCUGCAGCCCAGCAGGAACCACCAAUGCCUCUCUGGUCUCCUACCACACCAGCUCUGCUCAAGAGAUACUGCUCGGGGCAUUGAAGCCCUUCACCCGCUAUGAGCUGGCAGUGCAAUCUAAUGGAGUGGACGUUGUGGGACCCUUCAGUGGCACAGUGGAGGAGUCCACUCUGUCUGACCGGCCCUCCACACCUCCGGAGGAGCUGCAGCUGAGUGCGCUAGACUCCAGCUCUGUUCUGGUGAGCUGGCGCCCUCCUCUGGAGCCUAAUGGUAUCAUCGUCAGCUACAGGAUCUUGUACAGUGGGAACGUCAGCCAGCCUGACCACUUGUGGAAAAACCUUUCUCAGGAUGGGAGCAUUACCAGUGUGGAGGUCCAGGGUUUGUCCAGUGGCAACCAUUACUUUUUUAAGUUGGGCGCAUCUACGGAGGUGGGACCGGGGCCUUAUUCACCUGUAAAGGAUGUUCACACCCCACCUCAACAAUAUGAGCUGGACAUCCAUGCAGUGACAGGCAUCAUAGUUGGUGUGUGUCUGGGGCUGAUAUGCAUCCUUCUCUGCAUGUGUUUAAGCUUUCGUAACGGCAAGGCCAGGGAGGUAUCUGGGGGCCUGGACUCCACAGCUGUGACCCCUCAGUACAGGAGAGGAGGCUGCCCCAUUCCCCCUGAUGUGCCAGAGUGCAGCGAUGGCCACGAGUUGGAGACACUGAUGCCCCCAGGCAGCCAAGAGUCUGGUCUGCUGCUAACAGCGGCCCCAGAGGAGCAGAGCCUGAUGGCAAGUGCAAAUCCAGAGGAAGGGGAGGAUGCCCCUACACCUGAAACCAAGGCUGCUUGGAACGGCUCUGUGAGUCAUAAUUGGGUCAACAGAAUCACUAGAUACAGAGACACCAUAACAGAAGACUCUCCGAAACUCAUUAAUGGAGCUCUCAACAUGCUAACUAAUGAUAACGGCACGGAAGAUCGUCUGUGUAUAUCUCUGUGCAGUAACCAGGUCGAGGCAGAGGUUAUCGUUCACUCAGAGCUGUCAGAUCCAGGAAGGGAGAAAGCGGAGGAGGGCAGCAAGAAGGCGAAGGAUUCUAACACCACCAGGGGACCUUCAUUAUCAGAGGACAGAUAUUCCCCUUUGAGCCAGCCAAGCCUGCCACGAGAGGAGGAACCUCUUGAAAAACUGUCACUGGCCCAAAGCCCCUCGAGUCUUCCCUCGAUAAAGUUGGUGGCUAAUCACAACAGGGAGCUAGAAGGCAUGACAGACCAUCCGAAUGCAGACAUAGAACCACAGCAGGACAUGGGGCUAACCAAUGGCUUCCACUCCCCUAAGACAAUGCGGUCUGUGCUGAGGUCAGAGCAUCUGGAGAACGGGGACUCCAGACAGUGCCCUUUGGCACCAGGGAAGGCCAUUUCUGCUGGGCUGUCCCCCGCCCCCUUUGUCAGCUCCGGCCUUGUCCACUCUACCUCAGCAGCACACAGUUACCUGUGCCCGUAGCCUUUGCAUGUAGGGCAUCGACCCUUACACACACAUACAGACAUCAGACUGAUUUUGUUUCCUCUAUGUACCCAGGAAGGAUCCCCAAGGAUUAUUUUUAUGCACCUCAUUGUUGGAUUUCUUUCUCUUCCUUGCAAAGUUUUUAUAAAUACUUUGCAUCCAUUGUUUCAUACUUGUGUAUAUACAGUAUACAGUAUAUUUUUAGUAGUAGAGUACUGUAUAUGGGUAUGCAUUCUCUAGCAUUGUCCUGUCCGUAGGAAAGAAAAGAAAGAUUUAACUUAACCAAGCAGAUAAAAGUGGAUUGAAGGAGGCUAUUCCCACUGUGUCACACAUGGCUCUGUUCCACUCAGGAAGGAGAGAGGCUGGAACGUUCCCUGAGUGGCUGUCUUUAGUCAUCCAGCAGUGAAAAGGGAGUGUGCAAGCCGGAGACCACUUCUUUUUGUAUGUAUGCCAUGCAAGUGUCUAAAUCUCACCAGCUCAACUCAAUCACCCCAACAACUGAAAUGUAAAGUGUUUCUCAUGACAUGUAGGAAACAUACUCGACAUGUUUCUUUCUCAACAUAAUUGUGUUUGCUCUAAAACUUUUCUGAUCAAAAUGCAUGGUUGGUACCUCAAAGAGGCUUAUUUUAUUAUAAUUUUAUUUUUUAGCCUUGCCAUGUAUGUACUUAACCUUGCAAUAUAAUUAACAUGUUUCUUACUGCUGUAGCAGUCAUGUAGGGAAAGAAUUGAAUGUGUUUGUCAGCAGACCUGGGUCAAAUAUUAGCUGGAGGAUGUUUUGGGGGUUAGUGCAGAGUUUGCUAUAUCAGGAGAAUUCAAGACUUAAAAAUGUACGAAACUCACUGUAUUGUGCUAUUUGGCAAACCACGCUUAAAUGGUACAUGAAGAGUAAUUCAACAGCAAGUUCACCUGUGGCAGGAAACUGCUGCUGCACCACUCAACUCAUCGAUCUAAAGUGUCAAGCAUGUUUUUACUUGUGGCCACUCCAAUCAGUGAUGUCAGAGCAGGUUUCCACUUGCUUUUAAAAUUAAACAUCUGCUGUUACAUCAUUAAUUUGGGUGACUAUUUUAAUACAUAGUGAGCAGUGCAGCCAGUUUUGUGUUCUAGUGAUCAUAUACUCUUUAUGUAUGCUAAAAUGAACGACCAAAAUUAUUUGUGUGUAUUUUUGACCCAGGUUCUCUACUGAUACUGUUUUUUUAUGUCCUGAAUCCAUAAAGAAGCAUAUUCUUAAAAGCAUUCCAGUCUGAUAUCUUCGACAUACCUCUCUCAGUCCAGGUCAGCCAUGAUUAGCCAUGCUACCUUAAGAAGAGGAGUGCUAAAACCCCAGACUAUGUUCCUGCUGCUGUGAUUGGCUUCAUCCCGAGCUGGCUUCAGUUCAUCCAUUCACUUCAGUAUUUGCAAAUACUUGAGCCAAAUCUGUAGUGUCUUGGCUACCCAGUGAAUGGGGAUGACUGAAUCAGAGUAGUAUAAGAGUGUUUUGAGUAAGUAGUAACAGUAACAAAGAUGACUUAUGAUUGUCUAAACCUUUUGACGCUCAGCCUGUAGAGUCCUUUCACUGAACAUCAAGUUUGUGUCUUUUACCCAACAUUACCCAUUUUCAAAUAGUACAAACAAAUAUUAUACCAAGUUUUGAUUUUGUAUUUUAUGUAUAUUUCUCAUAAUUGAAUACAAAGAAAUCAUCGCUUUGCCCAUUGCAGCUGUUGUGUCUUCCAACAUGGGAGAUAUUCAAGAGCCUUCUGUGAAAAACCUCUGUUGUCAUUGCAGACCAACCACAGCCAUUUGGCACUUGUGUAGGCUAUGUAAAAUACAAAUUAUUUGCUGAUGCUCUUCUGCCCAGAGAACGCUCUCGACACCACUGCAAUUUGUUCUGAUGGACAUUUAACAUGUUUUGAAAUGAGAUGGUUUGUGUCAGUGAGUUGCAGUAUUUGAGAGUUAUUCAGUUAAGUGAUUUCACAUCUGUGAUGCAGGAGUCAGAUUUUAUCAUAAUGUAGCUGCCAAAAUCUAUAAUAAAAAUCUUAGUUGGACAUUGCAAUGGUUCAAUAUAGACUAUAGUAACAUACAGUAUUUAAGUUUAGAAGUUUCAUGUUUUAUGUUUUCGUGUUUUACCACAAAUAUUUCGGCUAAAUCAGGCUGUUUUGCUCGUAUUUUAAGUCUUGAUGCAGUAGUGGUGUGUGGAGCCAACACAGAGGAUCUGUAAUGGGGAUUAGCCUAAAACCUGCCUCCAGCAAAAAGGAUGUAUGCUCUCCUUAUAUGAGCUCUAUUUAACUCUUUUAACCACUAUCUUUGAAAUACAUGUAAUUUUUUUCCUUUUUGUUUGUCUUUUUGUUGGCUGGAACAAUCAGAUUUUUUUUUUUUUUUUGGUGGGGGAGUGGGUGCUCUCAUUUCGUAGAGAUGAUAAUUACUUUGCUAAUUUUCAUUUCAUCCUCUUUCUGUAAGGGUUGUAUUAAACAGUAUACCUCAUGUUGGUAACUUGUUGAUUUGAUUCUGAUCAGUUUCUUGAUACUGCACAUUUUAUAAAAAGUAGAACAUAAGCAUCCUGUUGUUUUGUGAGCCAAGUUUUUCAUGGAGGACAGGAUCGACUGUUAAGUUUUACCUCAGUGUGAGUUAUUACUCAUUACAGUGGCCUGGAUGGUCUAGUCUAGUGGUGAAGGGGUAAACAAAUAACAGGGGUAAGGGGUCAGUGGACGUAAUCUAAACUGACUUUUACAUUGUUAUUCUGCGAUACUAGUUAUUACCAAAUUUGUGCUUCUGCUGAAUAACAGCGUAAGAGUCUGUUUUUGGUAAAAUACCACUUUAACACAACCCAGGCAACUGAAGUACUAAGCAGGAAGAAGGGCUAAAGGGACAUCCUCCCCAGGCAGGUCAUACCUCUCAAUGCAGACAGCCAUUUAGAAAUAAUUGUCUCUUCUCUACUCAGGUGCCCCAUCUUUGCAUAAAAUUGUAGAGGAUCAUGCCAGCAUAUCCAACUCAGAUACAUGUCAUUUGUUGUCAAACAAAGCCUCAUUUUGUCCUUUUUGGAAAGUAAAUCAAGGAAACUCUUAUGCACAGAUGAUAUUUUGUUUUGUACAAAUCACUCAGUGUAUUCUGUCUUUUCUCUGUACAUUCUGGUGCUUUGUGGUGAGCUGCUUUGUCCAGUGAUGUCACAUUGUUGUGGAUUUUUUUUUUUUUUGUACGUCAUCCUCUCUAGUUUUGUGUGUACCCGCUCAGUUGUGCUUCUCAGAAUGUGUAAGCACAGACUCUGUGGUCAUGUACCGCCAGCAACGCUCUACAGCUAUUCAGACACCUCUGUAAUCAUUGUGUGCCGAACAAGACCUCAUUCAUGUCAAAGAUGCUACCGUAGGAGCAACUGUAGGAGCAAUUGUAGGAGCACUUAAUAGAUGAGCACUUCUUCCUGGGCCAUGAGAAACUUUUGACUGUCAUCUUUACAUUUCUAGAAGUGCAAUUUUGUUAGUCUGUAAAACGACAGAUGGAUUACUCAGUGUUAGUCAUGGCGACCAUAGCCAUGAUGUGUGAUAGAAACAUUGCUUGUUCAGAGGAAUCAGUCACAGGAGAGGUAGUAUUUGUGGUUUGUAGAAAUAUUUCCACUGUGUUACCAUAUGUGAACAUGUCAAAACUCACAACAACUCUCAAGAUG